AAAUAUCAUUUUAAUAUUGUUUUUCCUGUUUUUAGAAAAUCUAAACUUCCUGAUGAGGAGCAGCCAAACAUCAGCCCCGUCAUCAGGAAAGCUUCUCUGAAAAAGGAGAAGAUAAAAAAGAAAACAAAGAAAGAAAAGAAGGAGAAAAAGGAGGUGGAACAGAAGGAGGAAGACGAGGAGGAAGUGAUAGGAGAGAAGGAGGUGAAGGUGCAGAAGAAGAAGGAUGAAAACUCAGGAGAAGCUCCAAUUGAAACCAAAGAGAAAGCAGUGCAGACAGACAGCACACAAGAAGUAAAAUGGAAACUUUUGGAGUUUUGGAUCAAUAAAGACCUAGAAGUACAGAGACGGCGAGAGGAAGAACUAAGGGAGGAGGAAGAGUUCUUUAGCUGAAAGAACAACUGAAGCUAAAUUG